UCAAACUUGGUCAUUUAGAGGAAGUAAAAGUCGUAACAAGGUCUCCGUUGGUGAACCAGCGGAGGGAUCAUUGCCGAGCCUAGGCUCCAAGCCGCGCGGACCAUACCUCAUCACUGCCUCGGCGGGGGGCCCCAGGGGGGGCCGCGGGGGACCCGCCGGGGGAUUCCAGACCUUACCGUACCGCCCCUUAGUCGCGACGCGAGAAGAAUCACAACUUUCAACAAUGGAUCUCUUGGCUCUGGCAUCGAUGAAGAACGCAGC
rnacentral:misc_RNA from 1 species